CACGCCGUAAACGAUGAUAACUAGCCGUUGGGAGGGUUUACCUCUUAGUGGCGAAGCUAACGCGUUAAGUUAUCCGCCUGGGGAGUACGGCCGCAAGGCUAAAACUCAAAGGAAUUGACGGGGACCCGCACAAGCGGUGGAGCAUGUGGUUUAAUUCGAUGCAACGCGAAGAACCUUACCUGGUCUUGACAUACAGAGAACUUUCCAGAGAUGGAUUGGUGCCUUCGGGAACUCUGAUACAGGUGCUGCAUGGCUGUCGUCAGCUCGUGUCGUGAGAUGUUGGGUUAAGUCCCGUAACGAGCGCAACCCUUAUCCUUAUUUGCCAGCACUUCGGGUGGGAACUAUAAGGAGACUGCCGGUGAUAAACCGGAGGAAGGCGGGGACGACGUCAAGUCAUCAUGGCCCUUACGACCAGGGCUACACACGUGCUACAAUGGGAAGGACAAAGGGUCGCUAAGCCGCGAGGUGGUGCUAAUCUCAUAAACCUUUUCGUAGUCCGGAUCGGAGUCUGCAACUCGACUCCGUGAAGUCGGAAUCGCUAGUAAUCGUGGAUCAGAACGCCACGGUGAAUACGUUCCCGGGUCUUGUACACACCGCCCGUCAUACCAUGGGAGUGGGUUGCACCAGAAGUGGGUAGUCUAACUUAGGAGGACGCUCACCACGGUGUGAUUCAUGACUGGGGUAAAGUCGUAACAAGGUAAAGCCGA
rnacentral:rRNA from 1 species